rnacentral:rRNA from 1 species
UACAGAGGUCCCAAGCGUUGUUCGGAUUCAUUGGGCGUAAAGGGUGCGUAGGUGGCGCUGUAAGUCGGGUGUGAAAUUUCGGAGCUUAACUCCGAAACUGCAUUCGAUACUGCGGUGCUUGAGGACUGGAGAGGAGACUGGAAUUCAUGGUGUAGCAGUGAAAUGCGUAGAGAUCAUGAGGAAGACCAGUGGCGAAGGCGGGUCUCUGGGAAGUAACUGACGCUGAGAAGCGAAAGCGUGGGUAGCGAACAGG